UGGGGUCGAGUUGCAGACCCCAAUCCGAACUGAGACCGGCUUUUUGGGAUUCGCUCCACCUUACGGUAUCGCAGCCCUCUGUACCGGCCAUUGUAGCAUGCGUGAAGCCCAAGACAUAAGGGGCAUGAUGAUUUGACGUCAUCCCCACCUUCCUCCGAGUUGACCCCGGCAGUCUCCCAUGAGUCCCCGGCAUAACCCGCUGGCAACAUAGGACGAGGGUUGCGCUCGUUGCGGGACUUAACCCAACAUCUCACGACACGAGCUGACGACAACCAUGCACCACCUGUGUACGAGUGUCCAAAGAGAACCCCGUCUCGGGGGCUUUCUCGUACAUGUCAAGCCUUGGUAAGGUUCUUCGCGUUGCAUCGAAUUAAUCCGCAUGCUCCGCCGCUUGUGCGGGCCCCCGUCAAUUCCUUUGAGUUUUAGCCUUGCGGCCGUACUCCCCAGGCGGGGCACUUAAUGCGUUAGCUGCGGCACGGAACUCGUGGAAUGAGCCCCACACCUAGUGCCCAACGUUUACGGCAUGGACUACCAGGGUAUCUAAUCCUGUUCGCUCCCCAUGCUUUCGCUCCUCAGCGUCAGUUGCGGCCCAGAGACCUGCCUUCGCCAUCGGUGUUCCUCCUGAUAUCUGCGCAUUCCACCGCUACACCAGGAAUUCCAGUCUCCCCUACCGCACUCUAGUCUGCCCGUACCCGAUGCAAGCCCGAGGUUGAGCCUCGGGAUUUCACACCAGACGCGACAGACCGCCUACGAGCUCUUUACGCCCAAUAAUUCCGGACAACGCUUGCGCCCUACGUAUUACCGCGGCUGCUGGCACGUAGUUAGCCGGCGCUUCUUCUGCAGGUACCGUCACUUGCGCUUCUUCCCUGCUGAAAGAGGUUUACAACCCGAAGGCCGUCAUCCCUCACGCGGCGUCGCCGCAUCAGGCUUGCGCCCAUUGUGCAAUAUUCCCCACUGCUGCCUCCCGUAGGAGUCUGGGCCGUGUCUCAGUCCCAGUGUGGCCGGUCGCCCUCUCAGGCCGGCUACCCGUCGACGCCUUGGUAGGCCAUCACCCCACCAACAAGCUGAUAGGCCGCGAGCCCAUCCCCCACCGAAAAACUUUCCAACCCACACCAUGCGAUGCGAGCUCAUAUCCGGUAUUAGUCCCCGUUUCCAAGGCUUAUCCCGAAGUGGAGGGCAGGUUGCUCACGUGUUACUCACCCGUUCGCCACUGAUCCACCCAGCAAGCUGGGCUUCAC
rnacentral:rRNA from 1 species